rnacentral:tmRNA from 1 species
UUCAUUGAAUUUCUUAUAUCAAUAGGCGUAUAAUGGUCUUGCUGGCUUGCCAGCUAUGACAUUACACGUUUACAUGGAAUAAACGUUGCGGACCCGGGGGCGGUACCCGGCGACUCCACCAUUUGGAAUUUGGGUUUUCAGAUUUCAGGUGAUGGGGUCGAAAUAGGAUCGACGCGCGCAAUAAAGAUGUUUUAACGGUGUUCGGCAUAGUAUCCGCCGUUAUCGGGCUAAUUUUAUAAACGCAAACGAUAAUAAAGCGUUCGUAGCAGCUAACGACAACUCUGUUGUUGAAGGUGAAGUUCGCAAAGCUGCCUAAUUGGGCAGUAGCGAUGCUACACUCUAAUCCCUGACGGAUUAACGUCCAUCAGGUGGGGCCCGAGCCGAGCCUCGCAACAGAAUCGGCUCAUC